AGACCCCGUCAAGGUUAUAAGCUCUAUCAAGAGGAUACUCUUUGGGAAAACUGGUAACAAUAUAUUCCUUAAGUUUUUUAGGUCGAUUGAUGAUGUCUUCUCUGGUGAAAACAAUAUUAGCAAUCUCACCUUUAACCAGUUGAGUGAUGAUAUUUUCCUGCUUACGUGACACAAAGAUGUAAGGGGAUGUUGUCUAGGUCGGACUAUAUCGAGGAGUGUUUUGGAGAACCUAGUAGAAAGUUGUUCGAACCAUUUAAGUUUAUCGUUGGUGGAUGUUCCAGCUGGGAAUGCCAGGCGCACAUAGUCAGCGCGGGGAGCAAUAGGAGGCUUGGGUGGGCGGGCCCCUGGCUGGGUGAGCCCACCACCGCCCACCUCCACCGUCUUCACACGGGUUCCGGUGUUUCUGUCAUCAUUGCCAAUGUCCUCAUCGCCGUCAGCAGAGUCUGCAAGUUUAGACUUUCUUCUCGCAUUCCUUAAAGUUGUUCGAACCAUU